UACGAAGGGGGCUAGCGUUGUUCGGAUUUACUGGGCGUAAAGCGCACGUAGGCGGAUCGAUAAGUCAGGGGUGAAAUCCCAGAGCUCAACUCUGGAACUGCCUUUGAUACUGUCGAUCUGGAGUAUGGAAGAGGUGAGUGGAAUUCCGAGUGUAGAGGUGAAAUUCGUAGAUAUUCGGAGGAACACCAGUGGCGAAGGCGGCUUACUGGUCCGGUUCUGACGCUGAGGCGCGAAAGCGUGGGGAGCAAACAGG
rnacentral:rRNA from 1 species